rnacentral:rRNA from 1 species
GAUGAACGCUGGCGGCGUGCUUAACACAUGCAAGUCGAACGGAAAGGCCCAAGCUUGCUUGGGUGCUCGAGUGGCGAACGGGUGAGUAACACGUGGGUGAUCUGCCCUGCACUUUGGGAUAAGCCUGGGAAACUGGGUCUAAUACCGGAUAGGACCAUCGUUUAGUGUCGGUGGUGGAAAGUUUUUCGGUGUGGGAUGAGCUCGCGGCCUAUCAGCUUGUUGGUGGGGUAAUGGCCUACCAAGGCGUCGACGGGUAGCCGGCCUGAGAGGGUGUACGGCCACAUUGGGACUGAGAUGCGGCCCAGACUCCUACGGGAGGCAGCAGUGGGGAAUAUUGCACAAUGGGCGCAAGCCUGAUGCAGCGACGCCGCGUGGGGGAUGACGGCCUUCGGGUUGGAAACUCCUUUCGCCAAGGACGAAGCGUUUUGUGACGGUACUUGGAGAAGAAGCACCGGCUAACUACGUG